CACUGUUAAGGGGGCGGGGUGUUGUGGAAGUCACUAAUAAACGGGCGGCCGCUGUGGAGGUCACUGUUAAAAAGGAGGGUGCCAUGGAUGUUAUUGUUAAGGAGGCAGGCCGCUGUGGAGGUCACUGUUAAGGGGGCGAACCACUGAGGAGGUCACUGUCAAGGGAGUAGGG